rnacentral:piRNA from 1 species
UGCUCGAGCAGUCCUCUGAUGCACG